GACGAACGCUGGCGGCGUGCUUAACACAUGCAAGUCGAACGAAGUGGCGAACGGGUGAGUAAUACGUGGGUAACCUGCCCUCCUUUUUGGGAUAAGCCUUGGAAACGGGGUCUAAUACCGAAUACAGGGGGAUGGGCUCGCGGCCUCUCCGCUUGUUGGUGGGGUGAUGGCCUACCAAGGCGGUGACGGGUAGCCGGCGUGCGAGGGUGACCGGCAACAUGGGGACUGAGACACGGCCCAGACGCCGACGGGAGGCAGCAGGGGGGAAUAUUGGACAAUGGGCGCAAGCCGGAUGCAGCCAGGCCGCGUGUAGGAAGAAGGCCUUAGGGUUGUAAAGUACUUUCAGCGGGGAGGCGUUACCCGCAGAAGAAGCACCGGCUAACUCCGUGCCAGCAGCCGCGGUAAUAC
rnacentral:rRNA from 1 species